ACAGGUUGGGAGGGGACAUUAGGCACAAUCCUGGAAUCCUGGGUUACACAGUGCUGAGAGCUCACGAAAGGGACAAAGAACUCACAUGGAAGGUUAAAGGAAAACAAAGUCAAGGGCGGCGUCCAGGGAGGCAAAUUAGCAGAUUCAAUGUGUUGACUCCAUGUGCCUGCUCUCCCCAUGGUGGUCCCCUCGGAGAAACAGCUGGGUAUGGGCCUCAGAGAGCUGUGUGCAGAUUCCUGCCCUGCCUCUUGGAGCAAAUUGCUCACCUGCUCUGAGCUCUAGGUCCCUCCCCAGUGCAAUGAGCAUGGCUGAAAAGGCUCAGAGCCUGGGGGCGAUGGGUGUGGCUGAUUAUAAGGAGACCAGGUCAUUCCAAACAGCCCGCUCUCUAUUCCAGAUCAGAACACAAGGUGUCUUGAGAUAAAGUACGUGGAGCCUCUGCCAUGUGUGCAGGAGGUAAGAGCUGAGGAGACCCUGUUGUAGUAAGAGGCAUGUGCGCUGCAUGUGGGGUAUAGGGUGUGUGUGGUAUGUUUUGUGAUGUGUGUGUUGGUCAUAGUGGGUAUAUGGUGUGUGAGUGUGCGUGCUGUGGUGUGUGUGCUGUGGAAGUUGUGUUGGGAUGCAUGUGGUGUCUGCGUGUGUGCAUGUGCUAUGUGAGGGUGUGUUCCGCAUCAUGUAUGGUGUGUGGUGCGUGUGGUAUGUAUGUGGUGUGUAGAUCAUGUACGCUUCUAGUGUGGUAUGUUUAUGUUGUGUCUGUGGUAUAUGUGUGCUAGUUGUGUGUGGUAUAGUGUGUCUGUGGUGUGUGUGUGCUAGUUGUGUGUGGUAUAGUGUGUCUGUGGUGUGUGUGUUGUAUCUGUGGUGUGUGUGUGCUAGUUGUGUGUGGUAUAGUGUAUCUGUGGGGUGUGUGUUGUGUCUGUGGUGUGUGUGCUAGUUGUGUGUGGUAUAGUGUGUCUGUGGUGUGUGUGUGCUAGUUGUGUGUGGUAUAGUGUGUCUGUGGUGUGUGUGUUGUAUCUGUGGUGUGUGUGUGCUAGUUGUGUGUGGUAUAGUGUGUCUGUGUUGUGUGUGUUGUGUCUGUGGUGUGUGUGUGCUAGUUGUGUGUGGUAUAGUGUGUCUGUGUUGUGUGUGUUAUAUCUGUGGUGUGUGUGUGCUCGUUGUGUGUGUACAGUGUGUCUGUGGUGUGUGUGUUGUAUCUGCAGUGUGUGUGUGCUAGUUGUGUGUGGUACAGUGUGUCUGUGGCAUGUGUGUUGUAUCUGUGGCAUAUGUGUGCUAGUUGUGUGUG
rnacentral:lncRNA from 1 species